GCCUGGGUGGCUUAGCGGUUGAGCACCUGCCUUUGGCCCAGGACAUGAUCCCACAGUCCUGGGAUCGAGUCCCACAUCGGGCU
rfam:Canis lupus familiaris chromosome 38, whole genome shotgun sequence.